GUAUGAGUGUGUGUGUGUGUAUAUAUAAUGCAGAGUGUGUGUUUGUAUGAGUGUGUGUGUAUAUAAUGCAGAGUGUGUGCAUUAUAUACACACACACUCUGCAUUAUAUACACACACACACAC